GGCACUAUAGCCAAGUGGUUACGGCGACAGAUUCGAAUGAAGCAUCUGUUCCUCUUUGAGGGCGCAGGUUCAAAUCCUGCUGGUGUCG